rnacentral:rRNA from 1 species
GAUGAACGCUGGCGGCGUGCCUAAUACAUGCAAGUCGAGCGAACGGACGAGAAGCUUGCUUUUCUGAUGUUAGCGGCGGACGGGUGAGUAACACGUGGAUAACCUACCUAUAAGACUGGGAUAACUUCGGGAAACCGGAGCUAAUACCGGAUAAUAUUUUGAACCGCAUGGUUCAAAAGUGAAAGACGGUCUUGCUGUCACUUAUAGAUGGAUCCGCGCUGCAUUAGCUAGUUGGUAAGGUAACGGCUUACCAAGGCAACGAUGCAUAGCCGACCUGAGAGGGUGAUCGGCCACACGGGAACUAGGACACGGUCCAGACGCCAACGGGAGGCAGCAGUAGGGAAUCUUCCGCAAUGGGCGAAAGCCUGACGGAGCAACGCCGCGUGAGUGAUGAAGGGCUUCGGAUCGUAAAACUCUGUUAUUAGGGAAGAACAAAUGUGUAAGUAACUGUGCACAUCUUGACGGUACCUAAUCAGAAAGCCACGGCGAACUACGU